GGGAUUUAUUGGGUUUAAAGGGAGGGUGGCCGGGGUUUUAAGUCAGCGGUCAAAUGUCAUGGUUCACCUGUGCCCAGCAGUUGAAACUGCAAUCCUUGAGUAUGCACAGGGCACAUGGAAUUCGUGGUGUAGCGGUGAAAUGCUUAGAUAUCACGAAGAACUCCGAUCGCGAAGGCAUUGUGCCGGGGCAUAACUGACGCUGAGGCUCGAAAGUGCGGGUAUCAAACAGGAUUAGAUACCCUGGUAGUCCGCACGGUAAACGAUGAAUGCUCGCUAUGGGUGAUAUAUGGUCAGUGGCCAAGCGAAAGCGUUAAGCAUUCCACCUGGGGAGUACGCCGGCAACGGUGCAACUCA
rnacentral:rRNA from 1 species